rnacentral:rRNA from 1 species
UGCGUAGGCGGAAUAGUCAGUCAGUGGUGAAAUCCUGCAGCUUAACUGUAGAACUGCCAUUGAUACUUCUAUUCUUGAGUUCAGUUGAGGUAGGCGGAAUGUGUAGUGUAGCGGUGAAAUGCUUAGAUAUUACACAGAACACCGAUUGCGAAGGCAGCUUACUAAACUGACACUGACGCUGAGGCACGAAAGCGUGGGGAGCGAACAGGAUUAGAUACCCUGGUAGUCC